GAUGGUUUUCAAAAAGAUUACUGCAUUCACAUUGCUGGAUUGUUAUUGGAAGAGCCAGAUGAAGCUGAUGCAGUUCCAGAUGCUAAAUAUGAAAAGUUUAUUGGAAGGCUCAAUAAAUGUAGCAUUUACAGCCACAGACUUGCUGCUGACGUUCACAACACUCAGGCUUUAUAGGUGAUCUGCUCAAGACAUGUUGACAGAUGGCUUGCUUGGGAAAGUGGCGCUUCCCAUUGUGUCUCCUGUGGGCAGUGCUCCUGCCCUGCUUCUCUGUUCAACACCACUCAAGUCUUCCAAAGUUUCACCUUAUUUCCAUCUGACUGGAAGAAAUGAUCAAACUGGAAACAGGAGCCUCAAAGCAAGAUUAGUGAGCUGCUUGUGUUCUUGUCUCUCAUCAGAUAUCUUGCACAUGGAUGUAGUAGGUUCAUUGAACCUGUCUUGCCCUUUACAGACCUAAAACCUGUGACAGAUCAUGGUUAUAAAACAUAAAAAUCCAUGCUGCAAAUUGCAGCUGUUUAAGAGCUGACUUAUGAGCAGUUCAGAACUCUGCUGCAGCAGAGGGAAGAUAAUGGGCUAUGGCACAACACCCUGCCCCAAUCUAAGUCACCCUCACAUGAGAGCCAUCUGCAA